rnacentral:rRNA from 1 species
GAUGAACGCUGGCGGCGUGCCUAAUACAUGCAAGUCGAGCGAACAGAUCAGGAGUUUGCUCCUCUCUCGUUAGCGGCGGACGGGUGAGUAACAUGUGUAACAUCCACCUAUCAGACUGGGAUCAUCUCGGGAAACCGGCGCUAAUACCGGAUAAUAUAUUGAACCGCAUGGUUCAAUAGUGAAAGACGGCUUUGCUGUCACUUCUAGAUGCUUCCCCGCCGUAUUAGCUAGUUGGUAAGGUAACGGCUUAGCAAGGGUACGAUGCGUAGCCGACCUGAGAGGCGGGUCGGCCGCACGGGAGCGGAGACACGGACCAGGCGACUGCGAGAGGCAGCAGUAGGGUAUGUUACGCAAUGGGCGAAAGCCUGACGGAGCAACGCCGCGUGAGUGAUGAAGGUCUUCGGAGCGUAAAGCUCUGUUAUUAGUGAAAAACAAAUGUGUAAGUAACUAUGCACGUCUUGACGGUACCUGGUCAGGAAGCAACGGCUAACUACGUG